AACGAACGCUGGCGGCAGGCCUAACACAUGCAAGUCGAGCGAGCAUUUCGGUGCUAGCGGCGGACGGGUGAGUAACGCGUGGGAACGUGCCCUUUUCUGCGGAAUAGUCCUGGGAAACUGGGGGUAAUACCGCAUACGCCCUUUUGGGGAAAGAUUUAUCGGAGAAGGAUCGGCCCGCGUUGGAUUAGGUAGUUGGUGGGGUAAUGGCCCACCAAGCCGACGAUCCAUAGCUGGUUUGAGAGGAUGAUCGGCCACACUGGGACUGAGACACGGCCCAGACUCCUACGGGAGGCAGCAGUGGGGAAUCUUAGACAAGGGGGGCAAACCUGAUCGAGCCAUGCCGCGUGAGUGAUGAAGGCCUUAGGGUUGUAAAGCUCUUUCAGCUGGGAAGAUAAUGACGGUACCAGCAGAAGAAGCCCCGGCUAACUACGUG
rnacentral:rRNA from 1 species